rnacentral:ncRNA from 1 species
CCCUCAUGUAUUGUAUUUUUGUAAAUUAAACUUUUUUAUUUGUUUUUAUUUUCUAGGGUAAAAUCAGGAAAAUUAUUUUCUUUUGUUUAAUUUAUAAGAUUUGUUAAACGAACCAGAUUAGUACCUGGUUAGACAAAAUUAAAAAGAGCAGGAGUAAAGUUAUGUUUAAACUGUAAGGAUAUUGGCAGGCUUUUUAAAUUAUCUUUGGAGGUUGAGUAGUAAUUGAGAACCCUCAUUAUCAUCUUUUGUUUUAGGCGCAUGUAUGAUCGUUUAUUUUAUUCUUGAGGAUUGUAAUUAAAAAUUUUUAUUUAUUAAAAUAGAUAAAUACCUGGUUUAUACAAAAGUUUAAAUUUGACCUACAUUAUUUAAUAUUUUGGAUUUAUAUUCAGAGAUGUUUUAAUGAAAUUGUAAAAGACAGUAAAUCAUUUUUUAUAUAUGAUUGAAGUUUAUUUAAAAGCGGUACAAAUCAUCCAUCAAUUGCCCAAAGGGGAGUAAGUUGUAUAAAGUAAAA